rnacentral:lncRNA from 13 species
UCACCUAGUCAAUGGUCCUUCCUCUGUUCCCAGAGUGCAGAUGCGUGCUUGCAACAACAUAGGUGCUUGAUAACUAUGCAUGGAAUAUAAAAUCUGAAUCAGCAAAUUAGGGAAGUAUGAGAAGUUGUAGAAGAGAAGGCUGAGUUGAGGUGAUACUGAAUGGAUUCAACAGUUUCUUUACCAAACAUCUGUCGGACCUCCAUUAUGUGCCAGGCACAGUUCUAAGUUUUAGCUCAGCUAAGACAGACACAAAGCCUUGAGCUCAUGAGACUUGCAUCGGAGUGAGAGUCCCAGCAGCUGCCAUAUGUUGAGUUCUUGCUAUCUGCCGGCACAGUGGAGAACACCUGUGAUGUGAAUCCUACAGAGCGUUGUAGAAGGCAGGUGCUAUCAUCAACUUUACUUCUUCCCAGGUGUGGAAACAACUUCAGAGCAAGUUCACCUCAUGGGCCACUGCUCUACACAAAAUGAGAAAACGCUUCUCACUGGUUAAAGAGGGGUGAUGCUUCUAGAAAGGACACAGUCCCCAGUAAUGGAAACAACUCCAUGCCUUGCCUCUGUAAGUGCCUUCUCUUGAGUGAUGAUGCCAAAGGAGCUGAAAUGAGUUGCAACUUGCAGGAAGUAGCCUGACAUACAAUGUUGUUUAAAUUAAAGUGAAUGCAAAAGAGAAGCUUGUUAGAGCUUAAAUAGAUAGAGGGAGAACUUUUUCUGUUUCCAAUUGCUUGUCUGCUUUGGGUGGAGACCAUA